rnacentral:rRNA from 1 species
CAGUCGCCGCGGUAAUACGAAGGGGGCUAGCGUUGUUCGGAAUUACUGGGCGUAAAGCGCACGUAGGCGGAUACUUAAGUCAGGGGUGAAAUCCCGGGGCUCAACCCCGGAACUGCCUUUGAUACUGGGUAUCUCGAGUCCGGAAGAGGUGAGUGGAACUCCGAGUGUAGAGGUGAAAUUCGUAGAUAUUCGGAGGAACACCAGUGGCGAAGGCGGCUCACUGGUCCGGUACUGACGCUGAGGUGCGAAAGCGUGGGGAGCAAACAGGAUUAGAUACCCCUGUAGUCCCUGUCUCUUAUAC